rnacentral:rRNA from 1 species
ACGGGUGAGUAACACGUAGGCAACCUGCCCUCAAGCUUGGGACAACUACCGGAAACGGUAGCUAAUACCGAAUACUUGUUUUCUUCGCCUGAAGAGAACUGGAAAGACGGAGCAAUCUGUCACUUGGGGAUGGGCCUGCGGCGCAUUAGCUAGUUGGUGAGGUAACGGCUCACCAAGGCGACGAUGCGUAGCCGACCUGAGAGGGUGAUCGGCCACACUGGGACUGAGACACGGCCCAGACUCCUACGGGAGGCAGCAGUAGGGAAUCUUCCGCAAUGGGCGAAAGCCUGACGGAGCAAUGCCGCGUGAGUGAUGAAGGUUUUCGGAUCGUAAAGCUCUGUUGCCAGGGAAGAACGCUUGGGAGAGUAACUGCUCUCAAGGUGACGGUACCUGAGAAGAAAGCCCCGGCUAACUACGUGCCAGCAGCCGCGGUAAUACGUAGGGGGCAAGCGUUGUCCGGAAUUAUUGGGCGUAAAGCGCGCGCAGGCGGUCAUGUAAGUCUGGUGUUUAAUCCCGGGGCUCAACCCCGGAUCGCACUGGAAACUGUGUGACUUGAGUGCAGAAGAGGAGAGUGGA